CCGCUGCCCGCUCCGCCACCUGGAUCUAUCUACCUCUACGUUUACACUUGCGGUGACGGGUCACGAGGAGUGCAGCACAGCGCCAGCUUCCUGGUUCGGAAAGGUAAGGGGCGGAGCCCUGUCCACCUGGUGGCGACGUCCGGACACAUCGUGGUGCUGGGGUGGCACCUACACACCGCCCAGUCAGUGUGGACCCUCCCCGUCAUCACAUACAACCAGGGCUACACGCCACUACACUGGGCCUGCUACAACGGUACGUACUGGACAGAGGGACAGCGAAGUGAGCCCGAGGCCACAAACAAAUACACACAUAAAUAUAGCGUGUCUUAAAUCACCACAACCAGCUUCGGGAGGGCACGAACCGAGACAGUCCGCACAGGAGCCUUAAAAGUCCCUCAGACUGAGAGAGAGAGAAAAGGGGGGAGGGAGAGGGGGAGGAACAACAGGCUGGCUGGCCCACACUCAUCCUCUCGUACCACCAGGUGUCCUUCCAGCAGAUACUGGACUUCAGAGGAACUGCUGCUUCUAUACCCCAUCUUUACCUUUACCCACAAAGGUCCUAAACGGUAGAAAGUGUCCGGCCAACAGACAGACACCUUAUGAUGGCAAUAACCUGUAGUCCAAGGGGAUAGUAGCACUUCACUGAGAGCAAAACAGACAGGGAUCAAAAGAUGUGGAAGAAGCAUUUUCAAAACCUGUUUUGACUGUAGAUAUUGGGCUGAGUGUUUGGGCUGUUUCAUUUAAGUUUCAUGAGAGUGAUUGUCUUGUUUAUCCGCACACUAAGACAGUCAGAACGCACCUAGCCUCUUGUCUGUAAUCCAUGUGGGAGGAGGGGAAAUCAUACAUUUUCUAUGAACAAACAUUUUUUUUUAAAUCAUUCAUGUCUUAAGCUCUGUGGGAAUCAACAAAUCGUAGUAUUUGCUCUCAUGAGUAAUUGUAAAGAUUUAAUGCAUCCCAAAUGGAACCCUAUUCCCUAUACUGAAUAGUACACUACUGUUGAACAGGGCCCAUAGAGUUCUGGUCAAAAGCAGUGCACUCUAAAGGAAAUAGGGUGCCAUUUGGGAUGCUGGUUCUGCAUACCGGUAUGUGAGCAACAGGACUUUUUGAUGGGACAUAUUACAUUUGUGUUAUUAAACCUACCUGUCCUUUGGCCUCUAGAAAGUAUUUUUGAAAGUAAAUGAUUAAUUCAUGUGUUCUUUCUUGUGAUAUUUAUGUCAUAAUUUUGUGCCUUCGUUAGUUACUGAGGGGUGGUUAGGAGAGUAGGGGCACCUGUAUGAGCGAAAACAAUGAUGCACACUAAGUACUACAACGUUUGUGAAAAGCACCGAUACUAUCCCGAGGCAUGUGAGGUGGAAAACAUGUCUCCCUUGGAGAGGAGAAACACUGUAAACCAAUAGUAGGACAGCAGCAAUUAGAUUUUCUUCUGUUGGAAAAUAAAUAUCUAUAUUAUUUGUCUUUGGUCUUAUAAUCAAUGUUUUUUUAAAUGAAACCACUUAAUCCUUGUAUGUGAUUGCAUGUUCAAAUCCCAGUUUCUGUCUCUUUUUGAAAAUCAUUUUAACUGGAAAUAUGUGCAAUACAUUUGCUAUGUUCACCAAAUCAGCAACAAGAGGUUCACAGGUUUUUUCGUGUCAUUAUCAUUAUUUUAAACGGAUGAAACUAGCACGUACAUAUGAAAUAGUGACUGAAUUCGAAACUCCCAUGAAUUCUUUCAGUAUCUGAAGUUUGCUGUAUAUUUUAUGAGUAAUAAAUGUUAUUUAAUGAUGAA